AAUUCCUUGUCGGGUAAGUUCCGACCUGCACGAAUGGUGCAACGAUCUGGAUACUGUCUCGGCCAUGAGCUCGGUGAAAUUGUAGUAACGGUGAAGAUGCCGUUUACCCGCAACGGGACGGAAAGACCCCGUGAACCUUUACUAUAGCUUUGCAUUGGUAUUGGGUAAAUGAUGUGUAGGAUAGGUGGGAGACUUUGAUCCUGUGUCGCCAGGCAUAGGUUAGUCGCUGGUGAAAUACCACCCUUUAUUUAUCUGAUGCCUAACCCCAUAGUGGGGACAUUGCAUGGUGGGUAGUUUGACUGGGGUGGUCGCCUCCAAAAGAGUAACGGAGGCUUUCAAAGGUUCCCUCAGUACGCUUGGUAACCGUACGUAGAGUGCAAUAGCAUAAGGGAGCUUGACUGUGAGACCUACAAGUCGAUCAGGGUCGAAAGACGGAUAUAGUGAUCCGGUGGUUCCGCAUGGAAGGGCCAU
rnacentral:rRNA from 13 species